CCUACGGGAGGCAGCAGUGAGGAAUAUUGGUCAAUGGACGUAAGUCUGAACCAGCCAAGUAGCGUGCAGGAAGACGGCCCUAUGGGUUGUAAACUGCUUUUGUAUGGGGAUAAAGUCAGUCACGUGUGAUUGUUUGCAGGUACCAUACGAAUAAGGACCGGCUAAUUCCGUGCCAGCAGCCGCGGUAAUACGGAAGGUCCAGGCGUUAUCCGGAUUUAUUGGGUUUAAAGGGAGCGUAGGCUGGAUAUUAAGUGUGUUGUGAAAUGUAGACGCUCAACGUCUGACUUGCAGCGCAUACUGGUUUCCUUGAGUACGCACAACGUUGGCGGAAUUCGUCGUGUAGCGGUGAAAUGCUUAGAUAUGACAAAGAACUCCGAUUGCGAAGGCAGCUGACGGGAGCGCAACUGACGCUGAAGCUCGAAGGUGCGGGUAUCGAACAGGAUUAGAUACCCUGGUAGUCCGCACAGUAAACGAUGGAUGCCCGCUGUUGGUACCUGGUAUCAGCGGCUAAGCGAAAGCAUUAAGCAUCCCACCUGGGGAGUACGCCGGCAACGGUGAAACUCAAAGGAAUUGACGG
rnacentral:rRNA from 1 species